AGUGAACGCUGGCGGUAGGCCUAACACAUGCAAGUCGAACGGCAGCACAGUAAGAGCUUGCUCUUACGGGUGGCGAGUGGCGGACGGGUGAGGAAUACAUCGGAAUCUACUUUUUCGUGGGGGAUAACGUAGGGAAACUUACGCUAAUACCGCAUACGACCUACGGGUGAAAGCAGGGGAUCUUCGGACCUUGCGCGAUUGAAUGAGCCGAUGUCGGAUUAGCUAGUUGGCGGGGUAAAGGCCCACCAAGGCGACGAUCCGUAGCUGGUCUGAGAGGAUGAUCAGCAACACUGGAACUGAGACACGGUCCAGACUCCUACGGGAGGCAGCAGUGGGGAAUAUUGGACAAGGGGCGAAAGCCUGAUCCAGCCAUACCGCGUGGGGGAAGAAGGCCUUCGGGUUGUAAAGCCCUUUUGUUGGGAAAGAAAAGCAGCAGGUUAAUACCCCGCUGUUCUGACGGUACCAAAAGAAUAAGCACCGGCUAACUUCGUG
rnacentral:rRNA from 1 species